rnacentral:ncRNA from 1 species
CUUCACUGUUUCCUGGGAUUGGCUUUGGGCUUUUCCUGCGCAGCUUAGGUGGAGGGCAAAGAAGGCCUUCUUCUGGGGGCCAGAGCCAUUAGUGAGAUACCACUCUGGAAGAGCUAGAAUUCUAACCUUGUGCCAGGACCUACGGGCCGGGAAACAGUCUCAGAUAGACAGUUUCUAUGGGGCAUAACCCUCCCCAAAGGUAACGGAGGCGUUGUAUCACAAUUUUCUUACAUAUAUAGAAUGAGAG